GAUGAACGCUGGCGGCGUGCCUAAUACAUGCAAGUCGAGCGAACAGAUGAGGAGCUUGCUCCUCUGACGUUAGCGGCGGACGGGUGAGUAACACGUGGAUAACCUACCUAUAAGACUGGGAUAACUUCGGGAAACCGGAGCUAAUACCGGAUAAUAUAUUGAACCGCAUGGUUCAAUAGUGAAAGACGGUUUUGCUGUCACUUAUAGAUGGAUCCGCGCCGCAUUAGCUAGUUGGUAAGGUAACGGCUUACCAAGGCAACGAUGCGUAGCCGACCUGAGAGGGUGAUCGGCCACAAUGGAACUGAGACACGGUCCAGACUCCUACGGGAGGCAGCAGUAGGGAAUCUGCCGCAAUGGGCGAAAGCCUGACGGAGCAACGCCGCGUGAGUGAUGAAGGUCUUCGGAUCGUAAAACUCUGUUAUUAGGGAAGAACAAAUGUGUAAGUAACUAUGCACGUCUUGACGGUACCUAAUCAGAAAGCCACGGCUAACUACGUG
rnacentral:rRNA from 1 species